rnacentral:rRNA from 1 species
GUUGUCCGGAAUUAUUGGGCGUAAAGCGCGCGCAGGCGGUUUCUUAAGUCUGAUGUGAAAGGCCACAGCUCAACUGUGGAGGGCCAUUGGAAACUGGGGAACUUGAGUACAGAAGAGGAGAGCGGAAUUCCACGUGUAGCGGUGAAAUGCGUAGAUAUGUGGAGGAACACCAGUGGCGAAGGCGGCUCUCUGGUCUGUGACUGACGCUGAGGCGCGAAAGCAUGGGUAGCGAACAGGAUUAGAUACCCUGGUAGUCCAUGCCGUAAACGAUGAGUGCUAGGUGUUAGGGGGUCCAACCCUUAGUGCUGCAGUUAACGCAAUAAGCACUCCGCCUGGGGAGUACGGCCGCAAGGCUGAAACUCAAAGGAAUUGACGGGGGCCCGCACAAGCGGUGGAGCAUGUGGUUUAAUUCGACGCAACGCGAAGAACCUUACCAGGUCUUGACAUCUUCGGACCACCCUAGAGAUAGGGUCUUCCCUUCGGGGACCGAAUGACAGGUGGUGCAUGGUUGUCGUCAGCUCGUGUCGUGAGAUGUUGGGUUAAGUCCCGCAACGAGCGCAACCCUUGAUCUUAGUUGCCAGCAUUUAGUUGGGCACUCUAAGGUGACUGCCGGUGACAAACCGGAGGAAGGUGGGGAUGA